CCUACGGGUGGCAGCAGUGAGGAAUAUUGGUCAAUGGGCGGAAGCCUGAACCAGCCAAGUAGCGUGCAGGAUGACGGCCCUACGGGUUGUAAACUGCUUUUAUACGGGAAUAACGCGCCUUACGUGUAGGGCUUUGCAUGUACCGUAUGAAUAAGGACCGGCUAAUUCCGUGCCAGCAGCCGCGGUAAUACGGAGGAUCCGAGCGUUAUCCGGAUUUAUUGGGUUUAAAGGGAGCGUAGGUGGAUUGUUAAGUCAGUUGUGAAAGUUUGCGGCUCAACCGUAAAAUUGCAGUUGAAACUGGCAGUCUUGAGUACAGUAGAGGUGGGCGGAAUUCGUGGUGUAGCGGUGAAAUGCUUAGAUAUCACGAAGAACUCCGAUUGCGAAGGCAGCUCACUGGACUGCAACUGACACUGAGGCUCGAAAGUGUGGGUAUCAAACAGGAUUAGAUACCCCAGUAGUC
rnacentral:rRNA from 1 species